GACGAACGCUGGCGGCGCGCUUAACACAUGCAAGUCGAGCGAAGCGGCGGACGGGUGAGUAACACGUGAGUAACCUGCCUUAGACAUUGGGAUAGCCUCGGGAAACCGGGAUUAAUACCAAAUGGUCUAAGAUGGACUGGCGUCCUAUCAGCUGGUUGGUGGGGUAGUGGCCUACCAAGUCGACGACGGGUAGCCGGCCUGGGGGGGCGACCGGGGCCAUGGGGACUGAGAUACGGCGCAAAGGCAACGGGGGGCAGCGGGGGGGAAUAUUGCACAACGAGGCAAAGCCUGAGGCAGCAACGCCGCGUGCGGGAUGACGGCCUUGGGGGUGUAAACCGGUUUAAGCCAUGACGCGGUAGUGGCAGAAGAAGCACCGGCUAACUACGUGCCAGCAGCCGCGGUAAUAC
rnacentral:rRNA from 1 species